UACGUAGGGCGCGAGCGUUGUCCGGAAUUAUUGGGCGUAAAGCGCGCGUAGGCGGGAUAUUAAGUCUAUUCUAAAAGUGCGGGGCUCAACCCCGUAAUGGGAUGGAAACUAAUAUUCUUGAGUACCGGAGAGGAAAGCGGAAUUCCCAGUGUAGCGGUGAAAUGCGUAGAUAUUGGGAGGAACACCAGUGGCGAAGGCGGCUUUCUGGACGGUGUCUGACGCUGAGGCGCGAAAGCCAGGGGAGCGAACGGG
rnacentral:rRNA from 1 species